CGCCGUAGCGUCCUUUUCUGUAGCUGUUCGCUGUGAGAAGCCAGCAGGAGUUCACAAUGUUUUACAAGAUUAUCAGUCUAGUUGCUUCACAUGUCGAGUUGCUCGCUAUUCACAUUUCAUUGGAUGAUUUCUUCGGACCAGAUUUUGGAUGAUGGCUGUGUCUCUGGCUUUAUUUCAUUGACCUGCUAGGUGACUGAAGCAGGCUAUUCAAGCAUCUUGCUUAGAUUCAGCAAAAUGUGCAAUGGAUGAUCUCAGAAGAGCAACAGUCAUUUUUGUUGCGUUGAGGUGACGUUUAACGGCAGCAGUGAGCCGCGUAUAAUGGCAGGGAACAGGUGAGGCUUUUCUAUAGUCGCCCUGCGUCGCUUGGAGUUUAUCGUCUCCAUCAUUCUGAAGGCUGAUUUUUUUUUUUUUUUUGUGUGUGUGUGUUUUCAUGCUUUUGUAAUAAAAAAUUACAAAUC